rnacentral:rRNA from 1 species
AUUGAACGCUGGCGGCAGGCCUAACACAUGCAAGUCGAGCGAGCGGCGGACGGGUGAGUAAUGUAUGGGGACUGCCCGAUAGCGGGGGAUAACUACUUGAAACGGUAGCUAAUACCGCAUACUCUCGUAUAACCCAUAUGGGAUUAGCUAGUAGGGGGGGAAAUGGCUCACCUAGGCGCCGAUCCCUAGCUGGUCUGAGAGGAUGAUCAGCCACACUGGGGCUGAGACACGGCCCAGACUCCUACGGAGGCAGAAGGGGGGAAUAUUGCACAAUGGGCGCAAGCCUGAUGCAGCCAUGCCGCGUGUAUGAAGAAGGCCGUAGGGUUGUAAAGUACUUUCAGUGGGGAGGCGUUACCGACAGAAGAAGCACCGGCUAACUCCGUGCCAGCAGUCGCGGUAAUUC